AUGCCCAGUGAUUAUAAAAAGACGCGUUAUUCUGAGGAACAAAACCUGCCACCAGUCUUUCUUCUGUCUUUUACUCUGUCUUUGAUCUCUUAUCUUCCUCCACUCCCUCUCUUUUUUUUCAAACUGGUAGCUGGUCCGCUGAAUGCGAUUAUGAGAUAUGAGGGCAU